AGCGGAGUAGAGCAGCAUGGUAGCUCGUCUGGCUCAUGCCCAGAAGGUCGGGGGUUCGAAUCCCUCCUCUGCAACCA
rnacentral:tRNA from 1 species